AGGAUGAACGCUGGCGGCGUGCCUAAUACAUGCAAGUCGAGCGGUAAGGCCCCUUCGGGGGUACACGAGCGGCGGACGGCUGAGUAACACGUAGGAACGUACCCCAAACUGAGGGAUAAGCACCAGAAAUGGUGUCUAAUACCGCAUGUGGUCUUCGGAUUAAAGCUUCGGCGGUUUGGGAACGGCCUGCGCAUGAUUAGCUUGUUGGUGAGGUAAAAGCUUACCAAGGCGACGAUCAUUAGCUGGUCUGAGAGGAUGAUCAGCCAGACUGGGACUGAGAACGGCCCAGACUCCUACGGGAGGCAGCAGUAGGGAAUUUUCCACAAUGGGCGAAAGCCUGAUGGAGCGAACGCCGCGUGCAGGACGAAGGCCUUCGGGUUGUAAACUGCUUUUAUAUGUGACGAAUAUGACGGUAGCAGAUGAAUAAGGAUCGGCUAACUCCGUGCCAGCAGCCGC
rnacentral:rRNA from 1 species